UGCCCAGCAACUCCUAUCCCUACCUCCACGCGGUACCGGCCGGAAACUAUGAGCAACCUUAGGAAAGAUCGGGUAACCAACCCCGGUGGGAACUUUGGUCGUAGGCUGACAGGGAAGG
rfam:Aedes albopictus isolate Foshan contig96445, whole genome shotgun sequence.